rnacentral:lncRNA from 1 species
CCCUGUAUCCCCUCCAUCCCUCUGGCUGCCACCGUCCUCCCUCUGGACCCCGUGGUCAGGCUCGCUGCAGAGCCCCGUGGACCCCGCCGGGCUGAGCGGUCCACACCUCGGUCAGCCCUCUUGGAAGGACUGCCCCAGCCAUGUUAUAAAAGGAGGAAAUGUCACAGUGGGCAGACCCCACUCCUGCGUUAUAGACAGGAAACUCAGGCGUACAGUUUCUCUAAUUCCAAGUUCGACGUUACUACCUGCUUCUCAAAUGAGUAAUUGGCAGCCUCAAUUCUCUGCAGAGGGGAUGCAGAAUAGCAGAGUAUCUGUGAUACAACUUUCGGGAACAUCAAUUUUACUACAAGAUUUAUAACAAAUGGAGUUAAGUAACUUCCAAGGACUUUGGAGAUCCUGGUUCUUGGGCCUUUGAGUUUAGAAUAGAAUUAUGCCACAGCCUCUCCCAGGCCUCCAUCUUGCAGAUUAUGGGAAUUCUCAGCCUCUGUAACCAUGUGCUGGAUACACAGUCUGAACAGCACAGUUUAGGGUCCUGUGCUAUGAAGAAACCUACAUGCUAAUCCUGGGAAAUGAGACAAGCAACAAGCAAGUGAACCCAGGAAAAACCAGUGUCACUUCAGAUGGUGAUAAAGCAGGGUCAUGUGAUCGAGCGAGCCCAAAUGGCUAGUGGACAGAAGGUCACUCUAUUUUAGAUUGGCUGGUCAGGGUAGGUCUCUCUAAGGAGGUAAGAUUCAAGCUUUCCAGGUAGGAGGUACAGUCGAAGAAUGUAUCCAUGAAGGUGAGAGCCCAUUUGAGUGCUGUGGAUGCCAGCCUGGGAAAGUGACCGAUGGGGAGAAAGGUAUCAGCCUCAAUAUCCUCACCACCUUGUUCCUUCACUGUUCCAAAGUUGGCAACAUAGCAAUUCUGAGUCGAUCCAGAUUUCUAGUUUAUUUUAUCUGGAAUCCAAGCUACAGAAGACAACUGGAGAAUUCCUCACGCUUACACAUUUAUUAAAUUCAAUCCAGGCAACGUGAUGAUGAUAUCCAGGGAUGUUUCCCUGCCUUGUGUGGUGAAAAAUUGUAAAAGAUGUUGAAAAGGCUUACCUACUUACCUUUCUGAGUUAUCUCUGCCUUUCAUCGUGUUUGCUCUAGUUUAUAAAUUGUACAUUGUAGAUACCAGUAGCAAUGCAAGUGAUACUUGUCUACAGACAGGCACAUUGUGUCCAGUGUGGAGACAGCUGAUUUCCCUCUCUGCUGUGGAUGAAGCUAGUUUUGUAUCUAUUUGUAUAUUUAUUUGUGAAUUCCUGAUCUAUUAUUCUUUGAGUUACUUUUUAUACCAAUUACAACAACUUAAUGAAUGAAGUAAAAUCUUUGACACAUAUUCAUUUUAUAUUUGUAUGAAAGUCACAAUUUUAAGUUGUGUGUAUAUAUGUAGGUGUAUGUAUUAUAUAUAAACUUGUUCUUUAACAUUUCACAUUGCACACAGCUAUUUCCCUCAUUUAAUAGCUGUUGCAAACCUUCAUACUUCUUUUUAAGUCUCAUUCUACGACUUCUUCUCACUGCCAGAAAAUAAUUUCUAUUUUGUGGAUAAAAGUAUAGAAUAGCAAAUAAGUAUAUCCUCAGCUGUGUCAUCGGGUCAUUGUAUGAGCAUUCGGAUUCAUCAGUGAUACCCUCUCUCCAUCUCUUUUCUGGGAAAAACAUGCCCCUCCUCUCUGAAGUUAAUCCCUUCCACUGUGCACCCAGUUCUGACUUUCUGCGUCAGUUGAGAUACUUACACUAUUACUGCUCCUCUUUCUCUCAUAAACUUUCAGCACAUACCAAAAUUUAAGUCAGUUUCAUCUUUAAAAAUAUUACCCUGUGUCUGCUUCUGUUCAUUUUCCUUCAUUUCGUUGCAAUAUUUUCUUACAGGCAUCCACACUGGUUCCACUUUCUCACUUCAGCCUACUGCGAUAGGAUUUUUG